rnacentral:rRNA from 1 species
AGGGUUAUACUGUCUCCUUUCUCUAAUCAGUGAAACUGAUCUCUCCGUGAAGAAGCGGGGAUACUCCUAUAAGACGAAAAGACCCCAUGGAGCUUCAAACCCAACUACACCCUUAACUACCACAACCGCACAACCUCUUAGGGCCCUGUAUAGUUGGUUUUAGGUUGGGGCGACCACGGAGUACAACCAAACCUCCGCAAUGGACGGGACCACUCCCUUAUCUAAGAGCCACACCUCUAAGAAUUAAAACACUAACAUAAAAUGAUCCAUGAUCUGAUCAAUGAACCAAGUUACCCUGGGGAUAACAGCGCAAUCCAUUUCAAGAGCCCUUAUCGACAAGUGGGUUUACGACCUCGAUGUUGGAUCAGGGU